rnacentral:rRNA from 1 species
CUACGGGCGGCAGCAGUCGAGGAUCUUCUGCAAUGGGCGCAAGCCUGACAGAGCGACGCCGCGUGAGGGAUGAAGGCUUUCGGGUUGUAAACCUCUUUCGCCCAUUAAGAAUUCCCGACGGUUAAUAGCCGGCGGGUUGACAAAGGUGGGUAAAGAAGCACCGGCUAACUACGUGCCAGCAGCCGCGGUAAUACGUAGGGUGCAAGCGUUACUCGGAAUCACUGGGCGUAAAGGGUGCGUAGGCGGCUUGUUAAGUUGGAUGUGAAAGCCCUCGGCUCAACUGAGGAACUGCGUCCAAAACUGGCAAGCUCGAGGAUGGUAGGGGACAGUGGAACUCCAGGUGGAGCGGUGAAAUGCGUAGAGAUCUGGAGGAACGCCGGUGGCGAAAGCGACUGUCUGGGCCAUUCCUGACGCUGAGGCACGAAAGCCAGGGGAGCAAACGGGAUUAGAUACCCGGGUAGUC